GCUUACCUGCAGUCGAACGAUGAUGGAGAGCUUGCUCUUCGGAUUAGUGGCGAACGGGUGAGUAACACGUGAGCAAUCUGCCCUUGACUCUGGGAUAAGCGUUGGAAACGACGUCUAAUACCGGAUACGACCCUGGGAGGCAUCUCCGGUGGUGGAAAGAAUUUUGGUCAGGGAUGAGCUCGCGGCCUAUCAGCUAGUUGGUGAGGUAAUGGCUCACCAAGGCGACGACGGGUAGCCGGCCUGAGAGGGUGACCGGCCACACUGGGACUGAGACACGGCCCAGACUCCUACGGGAGGCAGCAGUGGGGAAUAUUGCACAAUGGGCGAAAGCCUGAUGCAGCAACGCCGCGUGAGGGACGACGGCCUUCGGGUUGUAAACCUCUUUUAGUAGGGAAGAAGCGAAAGUGACGGUACCUGCAGAAAAAGCACCGGCUAACUACGUGCCAGCAGCCGCGGUAAUACGUAGGGUGCAAGCGUUGUCCGGAAUUAUUGGGCGUAAAGAGCUCGUAGGCGGUUUGUCGCGUCUGCUGUGAAAACCCGAGGCUCAACCUCGGGCCUGCAGUGGGUACGGGCAGACUAGAGUGCGGUAGGGGAGAUUGGAAUUCCUGGUGUAGCGGUGGAAUGCGCAGAUAUCAGGAGGAACACCAAUGGCGAAGGCAGAUCUCUGGGCCGUAACUGACGCUGAGGAGCGAAAGCAUGGGGAGCGAACAGGAUUAGAUACCCUGGUAGUCCAUGCCGUAAACGUUGGGAACUAGAUGUGGGGACCAUUCCACGGUCUCCGUGUCGCAGCUAACGCAUUAAGUUCCCCGCCUGGGGAGUACGGCCGCAGGCUAAAU
rnacentral:rRNA from 1 species